rnacentral:rRNA from 1 species
UACGGGGGGGGCAAGCGUUGUUCGGAAUUACUGGGCGUAAAGGGCGCGUAGGCGGCCAACUAAGUCCGACGUGAAAUCCCCAGGCUUAACCUGGGAACUGCGUCGGAUACUGGAUGGCUUGAAUCCGGGAGAGGGAUGCGGAAUUCCAGGUGUAGCGGUGAAAUGCGUAGAUAUCAGGAGGAACACCGGUGGUGUAGACGGCUCACUGGACCGUAACUGACGCUGAGACACGAAAGCGUGGGUAGCAAACAGG